rnacentral:rRNA from 1 species
GACGAACGCUGGCGGCGUGCUUAACACAUGCAAGUCGAACGGAAAGGCCCUGCUUUUGUGGGGUGCUCGAUUGGCGAACGGGUGAGUAACACGUGAGUAACCUGCCCUUGACUUUGGGAUAACUUCAGGAAACUGGGGCUAAUACCGGAUAGGAGCUCCUGCUGCAUGGUGGGGGUUGGAAAGUUUCGGCGGUUGGGGAUGGACUCGCGGCUUAUCAGCUUGUUGGUGGGGUAGUGGCUUACCAAGGCUUUGACGGGUAGCCGGCCUGAGAGGGUGACCGGCGACAUUGGGACUGAGAUACGGCCCAGAGUCCUACGGGAGGCAGAAGUGGGGAAUAUUGCACAAUGGGCGGAAGCCUGAUGCAGCAACGCCGCGUGCGGGAUGACGGCCUUCGGGUUGAAAACCGCUUUCGCCUGUGACGAAGCGUGAGUGACGGUAAUGGGUAAAGAAGCACCGGCUAACUACGUG